rnacentral:rRNA from 1 species
GAUGAACGCUGGCGGCGUGCCUAAUACAUGCAAGUCGAGCGAACAGACGAGGAGCUUGCUCCUCUGACGUUAGCGGCGGACGGGUGAGUAACACGUAGAUAACCUACCUAUAAGACUGGGAUAACUUCGGGAAACCGGAGCUAAUACCGGAUAAUAUAUUGAACCGCAUGGUUCAAUAGUGAAAGGCGGUUUUGCUGUCACUUAUAGAUGGAUCCGCGCCGCAUUAGCUAGUUGGUAAGGUAACGGCUUACCAAGGCAACGAUGCGUAGCCGACCUGAGAGGGUGAUCGGCCACACUGGAACUGAGACACGGUCCAGACUCCUACGGGAGGCAGCAGUAGGGAAUCUUCCGCAAUGGGCGAAAGCCUGACGGAGCAACGCCGCGUGAGUGAUGAAGGUCUUCGGAUCGUAAAACUCUGUUAUUAGGGAAGAACAAAUGUGUAAGUAACUAUGCACGUCUUGACGGUACCUAAUCAGAAAGCCACGGCUAACUACGUG